AACGAACGCUGGCGGCAGGCUUAACACAUGCAAGUCGAGCGCCCCGCAAGGGGAGCGGCAGACGGGUGAGUAACACGUGGGGAUCUGCCCGAUGGUACGGAAUAACUCAGGGAAACUUGUGCUAAUACCGUAUGUGCCCGCAAGGGGAAAGAUUUAUCGCCAUCGGAUGAACCCGCGUCAGAUUAGCUAGUUGGUGUGGUAAAGGCGCACCAAGGCGACGAUCUGUAGCUGGUCUGAGAGGAUGAUCAGCCACACUGGGACUGAGACACGGCCCAGACUCCUACGGGAGGCAGCAGUGGGGAAUAUUGGACAAUGGGCGCAAGCCUGAUCCAGCCAUGCCGCGUGAGUGAUGAAGGCCUUAGGGUUGUAAAGCUCUUUCGCCGACGAAGAUAAUGACGGUAGUCGGAGAAGAAGCCCCGGCUAACUUCGUGCCAGCAGCCGCAGUAAAAC
rnacentral:rRNA from 1 species